UUGUAGAAAGUGUGGUUUAAGAUAUAUUUUUCAACCAAAUUGUAAAACUUGCAUAACAUCAAUUUUCAAACAAUAUUUCUAAAGAAAGCAGGGUAAGUUAUGGUUUCUUUAAAAAGGUAAAAGAAUUUUAUUUAAUGGAAUGUGUUAAUAUAACAAAGAAUGUUUGAAACAUAAAAAAAAAAGAGUAAAAAGCAAGUACUGGUUAGUUUUUAUAUCUGGAUUUAUAUUAAAAUAUUGAUAACCCAUAACAGCAUUUUAAAUUAUCUUUAAUGAGAAAACAGAAAACUGAAAAAAAAAAAAGUAAACAAGGGGAUAAAAAAAAAUCUUCCUUAAAACAGGUCACAACAAUGUCAAUUUAAGAAAACAGAAAACAGCUAAUUAGUCAUGAACAGUUAACAGCACAUUAUCUUUACCAGUUAACAUAAGUUUAAAAAUGCUCAGAACACCUAAACAAAAAGAUCCUGCACCUUUCUCAAAAAUCAAAUUUAAACAAAAUAGACUCAACUUUGCUCAUAUAUGAAAUAUUCACCAAAUAUAUGCUAGGUAUAUUAUCUAUCAAUUACACAUAUGUUCUGCUUAAAUCUUGAAUAUUUGCCACUGUUAACUAAAAUAUAAAGGCACAGAACCAGGAUUGUUUUACCUAAUCACCAGCACAUCGUCAGGACAAUUUCGUUUGGCGAAUUUGCACGACUUUUGCAGUAGAAAAUUGUUGUACUAUUCCUCGCAUGGUACUUAGGGCGUAUUUGAGAAAAAUUAAGCAACAUAACGGUUGUUUUAUUGCCGUUCUGAUAUAAUGUAAACAAACCCACAUGCAUAGAAUCAGGACCCACCAGCACCAGUCAGGACCAAAUAAACAGCACAGAACGUUCUUUCGCAGGUAAACCUUACCCACCGUACAUUAGCUCAUACAGACUUAUAAUAUAACUGUUGUUAUUAUAACUCUUAAAAGAAUGUCAGAUUUUUAUUGGCUAAUACGAAGGAGACAAUUUACAUAUAUUCCAUAGAUGAGUGGGAGAGAAUAGUCAUGGUGAUCAAAUCUACUUACAUUGCAUCUUGGGCAGUAUUUAUUAGCUGCUGAAAUGGUUGCAACAAUAUGACAACAUAUUAAAGUCUGCAAUGAUAAGAGUUGAGACUUGACUUGAUAAAGCAUUUUCCCUCUCUUUGGCAUCAAAACCUUCGACUCCAUCACUAAAAGUAAAAUGUUCCAUCAAAGACUGUACAUCACUGGUAUUAAACUGAUAACCCUAACUGGAAUUACGACCAUCCCAAUAUGGCGACGGCAGAUAUGGUUGCUGUUGAAUGUACUGCCAUAAUUGGUGUUCUAAUCUUGCAAAAAGAAAAACAAGAAAAUGUUAUAUGCUUCAAACAAUCAACCAGGCCAGAUUCAGCCGUUAUUAUUUAGGAAUGAAGAAAAAUAUAUUUUCAUAUCAAAGGUAAAGGAUUGCUCGGAUGUGUCUCCAUCGAUCAAAAGCAUGCUUCAUCUGCAAACCUAAAUGAAGACUUGGUAUUAGCAAAGUGGCAAUCUAUUUCCAACGUUCGUCCGCUUAAA